rnacentral:rRNA from 1 species
AGGAUGAACGCUGGCGGCGUGCCUAACACAUGCAAGUCGAACGCCCCGCAAGGGGAGUGGCAGACGGGUGAGUAACGCGUGGGAAUCUACCCAGUUCUACGGAAUAACACAGGGAAACUUGUGCUAAUACCGUAUACGCCCUACGGGGGAAAGAUUUAUCGGGAUUGGAUGAGCCCGCGUUGGAUUAGCUAGUUGGUGGGGUAAUGGCCUACCAAGGCGACGAUCCAUAGCUGGUCUGAGAGGAUGAUCAGCCACACUGGGACUGAGACACGGCCCAGACUCCUACGGGAGGCAGCAGUGGGGAAUAUUGGACAAUGGGCGCAAGCCUGAUCCAGCCAUGCCGCGUGAGUGAUGAAGGCCUUAGGGUUGUAAAGCUCUUUCAGUGGGGAAGAUAAUGACGGUACCACAGAAGAACGCCCGGCUAACUUCGUGCCAGCAGCCGC